rnacentral:piRNA from 1 species
UCCCUGAUGACACACCUCCUCCAACAAGGCC